GUGCUUGUUUCGGCAGCACAUAUACUAAAAUUGGAAUGAUACAGACAAGAUUAGCAUGGCUCUUGUGCAAGGAGGACACGCAAAUUCAUGAAGCAUUCCAUAUUUAA